rnacentral:RNase_P_RNA from 1 species
GCUGACCAGACAGUCGCCGCUUCGUCGUCGUCCUCCUUCGGGGGAGACGGGCGGAGGGGAGGAAAGUCCGGGCUCCAUAGGGCAAGGUGCCAGGUAACGCCUGGGGGGUGUCACAGCCCACGACCAGUGCAACAGAGAGCAAACCGCCGAUGGCCCACGCAAGUGGGAUCAGGUAAGGGUGAAAGGGUGCGGUAAGAGCGCACCGCGCGGCUGGUAACAGUCCGUGGCACGGUAAACUCCACCCGGAGCAAGGCCAAAUAGGGGUUCAUAAGGUACGGCCCGUACUGAACCCGGGUAGGCUGCUUGAGCCAGUGAGCGAUUGCUGGCCUAGAUGAAUGACUGUCCAACGACAGAACCCGGCUUAUCGGUCAGUUUC